CAAGCGUGGAGCAUGUGGUUAAUUCGAAGCAACGCGAAGAACCUUACCAGGUCUCGACAUCCCGAUGCUAUUCUAGAGAUAGAAAGUUACUUCGGUACAUCGGUGACAGGUGGUGCAUGGUUGUCGUCAGCUCGUGUCGUGAGAUGUUGGGUUAAGUCCCGCAACGAGCGCAACCCCUAUUGUUAGUUGCCAUCAUUCAGUUGGGCACUCUAGCGAGACUGCCGGUAAUAAACCGGAGGAAGGUGGGGAUGACGUCAAAUCAUCAUGCCCCUUAUGACCUGGGCUACACACGUGCUACAAUGGUUGGUACAACGAGUUGCGAGUCGGUGACGGCGAGCUAAUCUCUUAAAGCCAAUCUCAGUUCGGAUUGUAGGCUGCAACUCGCCUACAUGAAGUCGGAAUCGCUAGUAAUCGCGGAUCAGCACGCCGCGGUGAAUACGUUCCCGGGUCUU
rnacentral:rRNA from 1 species